CCAGUCUACAUCUUUCUCCCAUGCUGGAUGCUUCCUGCUCUCAAACAUCAGACCUCCAAGUUCUUCAGCUUUGGAACUCAGACUGGCUUCCUUGUUCCUCGGCUUGCAGAUAGCCCAUUGUGGGACCUCACCUUGUGAUCGUGACUAAAAGCUGUGAAGCUAACUGGCAAUCACCAAAAAGAUCAAGAACUGCAGAGGAGAAGAAAGCCAUCUGCCACUAUUAAAG
rnacentral:lncRNA from 1 species